CCUGAGCAGAGCACACCCUCAAAUGUCUGCAGCUGGGCUUGGUUUACAGGCAAACUUAGGAGACUUGGCUGCAGUUGAAAAGGUAUGUAUGUGUCCACUGGAUGUUAAGUCCAAUGCCUUAACCACUCAGCCAUCCCUGUGAUUAUAGGCUACAACAUUGAAGGACAUGUCUUGGUUUCAGAGUGUGAAAGAGACCUGCAAUGGCUAAGUCAUGCAUUCAAGUGAUAGACAUGGAGUGAGUUCAACCUCUUGCCUGCUUCAAUGGCAGUCUGGCUGGAACCUAACGUUCUAACAUUGCAAGAGAGGGAAGAAACAGCACGUCAGUCACGAUUUAAGG